UUUAACACGAAGUGAGUGGCGAACGGGUGAGUAACACGUGGGUAACCUGCCCAGAAGUAGGGGAUAACACCUGGAAACAGAUGCUAAUACCGUAUAACAGAGAAAACCGCAUGGUUUUCUUUUAAAAGAUGGCUCUGCUAUCACUUCUGGAUGGACCCGCGGCGUAUUAGCUAGUUGGUGAGGUAAAGGCUCACCAAGGCAGUGAUACGUAGCCGACCUGAGAGGGUAAUCGGCCACAUUGGGACUGAGACACGGCCCAGACUCCUACGGGAGGCAGCAGUAGGGAAUCUUCCACAAUGGACGCAAGUCUGAUGGAGCAACGCCGCGUGAGUGAAGAAGGGUUUCGGCUCGUAAAGCUCUGUUGUUAAAGAAGAACGUGGGUAAGAGUAACUGUUUACCCAGUGACGGUAUUUAACCAGAAAGCCACGGCUAACUACGUGCCAGCAGCCGCGGUAAUACGUAGGUGGCAAGCGUUAUCCGGAUUUAUUGGGCGUAAAGCGAGCGCAGGCGGUCUUUUAAGUCUAAUGUGAAAGCCUUCGGCUCAACCGAAGAAGUGCAUUGGAAACUGGGAGACUUGAGUGCAGAAGAGGACAGUGGAACUCCAUGUGUAGCGGUGAAAUGCGUAGAUAUAUGGAAGAACACCAGUGGCGAAGGCGGCUGUCUGGUCUGCAACUGACGCUGAGGCUCGAAAGCAUGGGUAGCGAACAGGAUUAGAUACCCUGGUAGUCCAUGCCGUAAACGAUGAUUACUAAGUGUUGGAGGGUUUCCGCCCUUCAGUGCUGCAGCUAACGCAUUAAGUAAUCCGCCUGGGGAGUACGACCGCAAGGUUGAAACUCAAAAGAAUUGACGGGGGCCCGCACAAGCGGUGGAGCAUGUGGUUUAAUUCGAAGCUACGCGAAGAACCUUACCAGGUCUUGACAUCUUCUGACAGUCUAAGAGAUUAGAGGUUCCCUUCGGGGACAGAAUGACAGGUGGUGCAUGGUUGUCGUCAGCUCGUGUCGUGAGAUGUUGGGUUAAGUCCCGCAACGAGCGCAACCCUUAUUACUAGUUGCCAGCAUUAAGUUGGGCACUCUAGUGAGACUGCCGGUGACAAACCGGAGGAAGGUGGGGACGACGUCAAAUCAUCAUGCCCCUUAUGACCUGGGCUACACACGUGCUACAAUGGAUGGUACAACGAGUCGCGAGACCGCGAGGUUAAGCUAAUCUCUUAAAACCAUUCUCAGUUCGGACUGUAGGCUGCAACUCGCCUACACGAAGUCGGAAUCGCUAGUAAUCGCGGA
rnacentral:rRNA from 1 species